AACUACUCACCUAGUAUCGGCCAAGAGAAUACUAAUGUAUAUAAAAUGAAUUUUAGAUCAUGGUCUUCAUUUUACCAAUACCAAAAGAACUGCCAUAAAUUGAUAGGUUUUUGUGAUGCUGAUUUUGCUGGUGAUUAGCAAUACUGAGAUCGUUUGGAGAGCAAGGAGAUGACGAUGUAGGAGAGUCGAUGACUGAGUGUAGAGCAGAUCGGAGUGAAGCUGAUGAUGACUUUGAUCCACAGAUGAUGAUUAAUCCCAAAGGGAGUAUGAUUUUGAAACUUAGUAUCACAAACUGUAAAACAAUGUUAGGUUUGAGUUUGAUAUAUAUAGAUGGUUUAAAUGUUUGAUUCCAGCUUACAACGGUCAUAAGCUCAAGGUUCAACUGGCGCUUGUUGUCACUGUUGCUGAAGGCAAAGGUGACAUCAAGUGAUGGUUGGACCUUCCUAGGAUUUUUACCAUAUUAAAGGUUUAGGUAUUAAAUUGAUCAUGUAAGGGUUUAGAUUAUAAAUUGGUUAAUGAGGGUUCAUAUUGUAAAUGUUGUAAAUGGAUUUAUGUAAUAAUUUUAUACGCCCCCUCAAAAGCGAGUUGGGCUGAAAAGAAACGAACUUUUGGACUGGUCCAUGUUCCAUUCUUUAAAUAUAAAAAGGGUUUUGUAAAUUUGAUUUUGGUUGUAAACACGAAUCGUCUUGUAUGGUUUCAGCAGGAAAUGAGGGUUUCACUGGAGGCAAGGGUUUGCUGGAGGCAAUCGUUCGGGUAUGUUUCUAGUUUUCUUCUUUUGUGCAUGUCGCUCUAUUCCUCUUGUGUAUGUUGUCUUUGGUUGGGUAUCCUUAUUCAUUUGUAUUCUUAAUGGGUUUUGUAGUGGGUGUUCUGUCUGUUAAUGUGUUUGCAUGUCAGUGUUUUCUUUCUUGGUGUUUGUUUUCCUUCAUCCUUUGUGUUUGUUUUCCUCUAUCAGUCUGUUCCGUGUAAGUUUUCCAUUUUCAGUUUCUUUUUGAGAUGAUUGAAUAGAUAUCCUGUAACAUCUUUUGUGAAGAUGUCUGCCACGUUUUCUUUGGUGUUUACCCUUUCUAUUUCAAUCUCUUUUUGCAAAGCUUUGUCUUUGAUCGUGUGUGUAUCGAUUUCUAUGUGUUUUGUUCUUUGAUGUAAGACUGGGUUUGUUGCGAUUGCAGUUGCAGAUGAACUAUUUGUAUAGAGUUUUGGAGUUACUAUAUUUACUUGCAUUUCCUUUAAUAGUUGUUUUAGCCAUGUGAUUUCACAAGUUGUGUGUGCUAAGGGUCGGUACUCUUCCUCUGCUGACGAUCUUGCCACUGUAUGUUGUUUUUUGGUUUGCCAUGAAACUAGGUUAUCAUUCAAGAAGAUGGCAAAUCCUGAUGUGGAUCGUCUGGUUGUGGGGCAAGAGGCCCAGUCAGAGUCUGAAAAUACUUUAAUCCUUGAGGUUCUUGUGCCUGAUGAGAAGAAAAGUCCACUUCCUGGUGAGUUUUUAAUGUAUCUUAAUAUUUUGUUCACCUUAGUAGAGUCUUCAUUUGUUGGUUCUGACAUGUGUUGGCUUAGUUGGUUUACUACAUAUGUUAUAUCGGGUUUGGUUACAGUUAGGUAGACAAGUUUUCCAACUAUGCAUCUGUACUCAGUAGGAUCAUCAAGUAAUUUAAUUUCCUUGUUCUGUUUGUUUGACGAUCUUGAUGGUGUAUAGAGUGGGUAUUCUCCUGGUUUAGCAUGUAGAUAGUUGUUUUGUUCAAGGAUUUCUAAUGCAUAUUUUCUUUGGCUAAUAAAAAUCCCAUGUUGUGUUGUUGUGAAUUCUAAUCCUAAGAAUUUUUUUAAUUUUCCUAGAUCUUUGAUGUUAAAAAAACUGGUUAAAUCGGUCUUAAGUUUGAUUAUUUCUUUUAAGUUAUUUCCUGUGAUUAAUAGAUCAUCUACAUAUGGUAGGAUGAAAAUUUUAUUUUUCCCAUUGAUCUUACCGAAGAGAGCAUAAUCCUCUCUUGUCGUUUAAAACCUAAUUUGUUUGGUACUUGUUGUAGUUUGUUAAACCACAUUCUAGAUGCUUGUUUUAAGCCAUAUAGAGAUUUUGUUAAUUUGCAUGCUAGUUUGUGGUUGUCUGUUGGUUCUUUGUUGAUCCUUAGACCUUGGAGAAUGUCCAUAUGUAGACUUUUUCAUUUAAGUCUCCAUGUAAGAAGGUAGUGAGACAUGCCUGAUUACGACAGUCACUCCCAGCAACGCCUUUAAAUAAGGACUAGGGUUCCGUCACUUUACCCCCGGAAGGUUCCCACGGUGCGGAACAAGUUCAUCGUCAAAUCGCGAGUUAACCCGUAAAUCGCGAUUGGACUACCAAAUCGCCGAUUUUAUGGACAAAUCGUUGAGUUAGGGCCCAGAUCGGCAGUAUGGUAGACUGCAUAUCUCGCCCCUUGAAACUCGACGAGUUUACCCUAAUAGGCGAUUUUCAUACCUGAAUCGUCGAUUUACGACCGUUACUCGCCGUCAGCCAACGCCAUAAAUGCACCCAUAUAUGGCAAUAGGCUCGAAGUCCGCCUUUGAUCGCGCCCUCCGAGACCAUAUAAAAAGGGUCCCAAGGGGACACUCAAAGGCACAACACAAGUUCCACUCUCACCAGAGCACCACUAAGAGAAUCGCCGAUUCCCACACCAGAAUCGCCGAUUCUCUCCUUUCAGGUAUUUGACGUAGAGCGUGUGUCGUGGACUUCAGAGCCUCCGCGAGCCCUGGUAGCAGAUUCUGUGCUUCAUAGCAAAUUCAGUGCUUCAUCAGAAGGCAUUUUGAACAUCCAUCUGAUGGAGGUGCCAUCCUUCAGGUGCAGUCUAUCCCCUAUGUUUAGUUAUAGCCCUUGGCAACCAAUCUAGCUUUGAAUUUGUCUAGGCUUCCAUCAGCCUUAAGUUUUGUCUUAAAAACCCAUUUGCAAUCUAUGGUUUUUGUCUCUCUUGGUACUUCAGUGAUUCUCCAAGUGUUGUUUUGUUUUAGUGCAUUUAUUUCAUUGCUUCUUGCCAGUGUGAUACUUGGCUUGCUUUUUGUAAUUUUUAGGUUCUUUGUGUUCUGAAAUUUUAAUUAGAAUUGCUCUGUGUUUUUCCGAAAAUUUGUUGUAGUUGAUGUGGUUUCUUAUUGGAUAUUUUGUUGUGUUGUAACAAACGUAGUCAUCCAAUUUUGUGGGUCUCUUUCUCUCUCUUGUGGGUCUUUCUAGGCUUUUCUCUCCUAUUGUUUCAUCUUCUACAUGGUUGUUUGAGUUUUCAGAGUUUUGGUUUUCAUGAUUUUGUUGAAUUGCUUGGUCUUGGAUUUAUUGUGUGUUCUCAUUGUUGAACUUGAUUUCAGUAUCUAUAAGGAGGAUCCCAUUUUCCUUUUCUUCUAUGUUUUUGAAAGGGAAGAUAUUUUCAUGGAAUAUUACAUCUCGGUUGAUAAUUAUUUCAUUGUUUUUAAUAUCGAGAAUCUUGUAUCCUUUUGUUAAUGUAGAAUACCCUAGAAAUACCCCUUUUAUGGCUCUGGCCUCAAAUUUAUUUGUGGGUUUAUUGAUUUUUGAGUAGCAAAGACAUCCAAAAUUUUUGAGACUUUCAUAUGAUGGUUCUUUUUGGAAGAGUCUGAAAUAAGGGGUUUCAUUAUUGAUGGUUGGUGAGAACAUUCUAUUUAUGAGAUAGCAAGCAGUUUGGAUGCAUUCUCCCUAGUAAGUUGUUGGAACUUCAGAUUGGAAUAUUAAGCAUCUAGUUAUGUCUAGGAUGUGUCUUUGUUUUCUUUCUACUAUUGAGUUUUGUUGUGGGGUGUAGGGGCAAGAGAGUUGGUGUUUUAUUCCUAAGCCCUUUAGAAAGGUUUGGAGGUUUACGUUAAGGAAUUCAGUACCAUUAUCGGUUCUGAUUGUUUUCACAGAAGUGUCAAAUUGGUUGAUUGCUUUUGUGAUGAAAUGUUUUAGUUUUCCUGGUGUUUUCCCUUUAUUGUGUAAUAGUAUUAUCCAGGUGGCUUUACUAAAAUCAUCUACUAUGGUGAUGAAGUAGUGGUGACCAUUAUAUGUUGGUGUUUUGCAUUUCCCCCACAAGUCAAUAUGUAGUAAUUCAAAAAAUUUCGUAGUUUUGGAAGUACUUGUAGAAAAUGAUAAUCUAAUAAAUUUUGCAGUUGGACAUUCAUUACAUAAAAUAUUUUUAAACAUAGGAAUAGAUGGAUUGUUUUUCCUAAUUAGAUUGUAUCUCAAAAUUAAAGAAUGUCCUAGCCUUCUAUGCCACAGCUCUGCAUUUUUUUGAGCUGAUUUUACCCAUACUUGUUCUUCUUUCGUUUCUUCAGAUGAUAUGAUGUAGAGUCCUUCUUUUCUUUUACCCAUAGAAAUCGAAUUCAUCUUCGAAUUCUGUAUUAGACAGUGGUUAUUAUAGAAAACGAAAAAGCAGUUAAUUGAAUUUGUCAGCUUUGUGACAGAGAUCAAAUUAACAUUGAAAUUUGAAAUUUUUAACAUUGGAUCUAGUGUUAAUUUUUCAUUCAGGGUGAAUGUUCCAUCCUCGUGCAUAAUUGCAAUGUGAGAGUUUGGCAUAUGGACCUUAAUAGGAUGGUUAAGUAUCCUUAUGUUGGAUAGCUGGAUUCCCGGACCGAACAUGUGGUCUGUGGCUCCACUAUCUAUCACCCAUUCAUUUUGUCUAUUCACUGUUGAAAUGAAGCAGUAAGAUUGUGUACCUGAUUUUUCUAUGUCAUGGGUUGUAGAUCUUCCCACGUUUGCAGAGUGUUUAGGUUUGUUUUGUCUUUGCAGCAUGGAUAUGAGUUGCUCAAUGGUGUAGCUUGGUUGUCCUUCUGAAUAAUUGACUCUAUUUCUUGUGGGGUUUCAUGGUGAUCUUCUUGGUUGUAGUUAUCUUGGUAAUUGUAGUCUUCCCAGUUUUGUUGUUCUUGUGGCUCUUCUAAAUCCUCAGUGUAUGUGUUGUUUGCCCUGUAGUUUGCCUAUUGUAAUUCCUGCCAUACUGGUUUUUGUUUUCCCUUCUUGUGUAGCUAUUUGUUGGAUUGUAGGGUCUGUUAGGUCUCCUGAAAUUUUGUGAGUUAUUUCCAUUGUUGUAUCUUUGCCUUUCAGGGUAUCCAUGUACUUGGUAGCAAUUGUCAGCAGUGUGCCCUGAUCUUUUGCAAUGUGUACAGAAGGGCCUUUCUCUUAUCUCUGGUUUUGGUGGUUUGUAAGGGUCAUUUGCCAGUAGGGUUGUUGUUACCUCAGUUGUGGGUACUGUGUGAUUUCUUUGCUGUUAUUCUUGUUUGAUUAUAGGAUAUAAUUCACCAUGUUUUGGGAUUGGUUUCUGAGCCAUUAGGACACCUCUAAUUGUUGUGUAGGUUUCAUUCAGUCCCAUUAAGAAUUUUACUGAUCUUGCAAAUUAAUCAGGGGGGUUAAUGUCCUCUUUGUUGGUGUCAUAUGUGCUCUAGAUGAGUUUAGUCAGUUUGGUGUAGUAUGUGCAUACUGAGUCUUGUCCUUGGUAGAGUGUGUAUGUUUGUACUAAGACAUCAUAGAGCAUUGCAUCAUUUGAUUGGUUGUAUCUGAUUGCCAAUUCAUCCCAUAAUAUCCAUGGUUUGCUAGCUGUGAGAAAAGAUGGUUGUAGCUCUGGUGUGAUGGAGCUUAGUAAUCAAGAAUGUAUCAUAGCGGUGCAGGCCUUCCAUUUUCUAUGUUCCUUUGAAUAUGUUUCUUAAUUGGUCUGGUUCUGGUAUGACUCCAAGUAGGAACCCUAAUUUUGAUCUACCUUCUACUGCCAUUUCAAAAUGCUUUUUCCAUACUGGAUAGUUAUUACCAUCCAGUUUAAUAGUUACCAUAAAAUAUGAAGAGAAUUCUGAACUGUAGGUGUCAUCCUCUUUUGUUUUUGUGAUUUGUAUGUUUUGAUCAUCAUAUUCAGACAUUUUCUGCAGAUUCAUAAUUAGCUAAUUACGUGGAGUUUGUAGAAGGCGAAAAUUCUAAGUAGCAAAUGUGAAUGUGGAAGUUAAUACUAAGGAGUGUGUUGACCACUUGAUGGUCGAGGAAGAUGUUGAUCCUCCUCCUGAUUCUACUGAAGAUGAGGCUACAAUGAUUCGUAGGGCUACUAGAAAGAGGAACAGGGAGGAAGGAGAAGUGUUCCACGAUCCUUUCACAGUGUGGAUGGAUGACCUUUGGAGGAAAGGUAUUUACCCUGACCUUAAUAAUGCACCUAGGUAUCGUGAUUAUAAAUGGGAAAAUGAUGAUGAGCUUCCACCUUGGGAUGGUCGUUUUGAUGAAAUGUUUAAUUCAGAUACAGAAGUUAAUGGAGGUAUCUAUGGAUUUAGUGAAGAUUCUGAGGUUGAUCCUCUCUAUGAUCGUGAGAUGUUGGGAGUGAGUAUGGACAUUGUAAUUGUUAUAAGUGAUGAUGAUGAUGAUGCUGAGGAUAGUGAUGCUUGGUAAUCCUGAUUAUAUGGAGUUGAUCUUCGACACUUGAAAGAACUGAAGAAAGAGAAUAAGAGUAAUGUAGAGCCAGACUAUGAGAAGUGGCUCAAGAUGAUACUUAAGAAGAAAUCGAAGUGAGGAUUUUCCUCCUCUUUUUGAAGUAAAGAAAAAAAACUUUAUAUAUUUUGUAUUUUCUUUGAGAAAAAAUACUUUCCCUUUUUUUUAUUAACCUAUUACUUGGGUUUGUUUUACUGUGGGGAUCUCAACCGCUCUGAUACCAUGUUAAGUUUUAAUGUGUAUGAAAUAUAAUCCAAGUAUGGUUUAAUGAUUAAUCCAGAGUAAAGCAAAAUAGUGUUGAUGCAACGGAUAAUAUUGAUUGUUUAAUUUAUCUAAUGAGUAUGAUCAAGAUGUGUUGCAGGUAGAUAAUGUUUGACAGGGAUGAUAUAUAUAUGAUUUGUCCAAGUAGAAGCGGAGAUAUGUGUAUGCAAUAGAUAUCAGGUAUGAUAUAUAUAUAUGAAAUGUAAGCAGAUGAUUUAGCAAUACUGAGAUCGUUUGGAGAGCGAGGAGAUGACGAUGUAGGAGAGUCGAUGACUGAGUGUAGAGCAUAUUGGAGUGAAGCUGAUGAUUACUUUAUCCACAGAUGAUGAUUCCCAAAGGGAGUAUGAUAUUGAAACUUAGUAUCACAAACUGUAAAACAAUGUUAGGUUUGAGUUUGAUAUAUAUAUAGAUGUUUUAAAUGUUUGAUUCCAGCUUACAACGGUCAAAAGCUCAAGGUUCAACUGGCGCUUGUUGUCCUGUUGCUGAAGGCAAAGGUGACAUCAAGUGAUGGUUGGACCUUCCUAAGAUUUCUAUCAUAUUAAAGGUUUAGGUAUUAAAUUGAUCAUGUAAGGGUUUAGAUUGUAAAUUGGUUAAUGAGGGUUCAUAUUUUAAAUGUUGUAAUUAUGGAUUUAUGUAAUAAUUUUAUAGAAACCCAGUUAUCAAAAAUAUGUCAAAACAUAUUGAGAGUGACAUCCAUUACAUUAGAGAAUUAAUUACAAAUAGUUUAAUAGUAGGAAAAUCUCCAUCCCUGUUCCGGACUGAAAUCCCCG
rnacentral:lncRNA from 1 species